UACAGAGGUCUCAAGCGUUGUUCGGAUUCAUUGGGCGUAAAGGGUGCGUAGGCGGUGGGGCAAGUCAGGUGUGAAAUCCCGGAGCUCAACUCCGGAACUGCACUUGAUACUGCUUUACUAGAGUACUGGAGAGGAGACUGGAAUUUACGGUGUAGCAGUGAAAUGCGUAGAUAUCGUAAGGAAGACCAGUGGCGAAGGCGAGUUCCUGGACAGUUACUGACACUGAGGCACGAAGGCCAGGGGAGCAAACGGG
rnacentral:rRNA from 1 species